AUGAACGCUAGCUACAGGCUUAACACAUGCAAGUCGAGGGGCAGCAUGGUCUUAGCUUGCUAAGGCCGAUGGCGACCGGCGCACGGGUGAGUAACACGUAUCCAACCUGCCGUCUACUCUUGGACAGCCUUCUGAAAGGAAGAUUAAUACAAGAUGGCAUCAUGAGUCCACAUGUUCACAUGAUUAAAGGUAUUCCGGUAGACGAUGGGGAUGCGUUCCAUUAGAUAGUAGGCGGGGUAACGGCCCACCUAGUCUUCGAUGGGUAGGGGUUCUGAGAGGAAGGUCCCCCACAUUGGAACUGAGACACGGUCCAAACUCCUACGGGAGGCAGCAGUGAGGAAUAUUGGUCAAUGGGCGAGAGCCUGAACCAGCCAAGUAGCGUGAAGGAUGACUGCCCUAUGGGUUGUAAACUUCUUUUAUAAAGGAAUAAAGUCGGGUAUGGAUACCCGUUUGCAUGUACUUUAUGAAUAAGGAUCGGCUAACUCCGUGCCAGCAGCCGCGGUAAUACGGAGGAUCCGAGCGUUAUCCGGAUUUAUUGGGUUUAAAGGGAGCGUAGAUGGAUGUUUAAGUCAGUUGUGAAAGUUUGCGGCUCAACCGUAAAAUUGCAGUUGAUACUGGAUAUCUUGAGUGCAGUUGAGGCAGGCGGAAUUCGUGGUGUAGCGGUGAAAUGCUUAGAUAUCACGAAGAACUCCGAUUGCGAAGGCAGCCUGCUAAGCUGCAACUGACAUUGAGGCUCGAAAGUGUGGGUAUCAAACAGGAUUAGAUACCCUGGUAGUCCACACGGUAAACGAUGAAUACUCGCUGUUUGCGAUAUACGGCAAGCGGCCAAGCGAAAGCGUUAAGUAUUCCACCUGGGGAGUACGCCGGCAACGGUGAAACUCAAAGGAAUUGACGGGGGCCCGCACAAGCGGAGGAACAUGUGGUUUAAUUCGAUGAUACGCGAGGAACCUUACCCGGGCUUAAAUUGCAGAUGAAUUACGGUGAAAGCCGUAAGCCGCAAGGCAUCUGUGAAGGUGCUGCAUGGUUGUCGUCAGCUCGUGCCGUGAGGUGUCGGCUUAAGUGCCAUAACGAGCGCAACCCUUGUUGUCAGUUACUAACAGGUUCCGCUGAGGACUCUGACAAGACUGCCAUCGUAAGAUGUGAGGAAGGUGGGGAUGACGUCAAAUCAGCACGGCCCUUACGUCCGGGGCUACACACGUGUUACAAUGGGGGGUACAGAGGGCCGCUACCACGCGAGUGGAUGCCAAUCCCCAAAACCUCUCUCAGUUCGGACUGGAGUCUGCAACCCGACUCCACGAAGCUGGAUUCGCUAGUAAUCGCGCAUCAGCCACGGCGCGGUGAAUACGUUCCCGGGCCUUGUACACACCGCCCGUCAAGCCAUGGGAGCCGGGGGUACCUGAAGUGCGUAACCGCGAGGAGCGCCCUAGGGUAAAACUGGUGACUGGGGCU
rnacentral:rRNA from 1 species